UGGCGACCAUAGCAAGAGUGAACCACCUGAUCCCUUCCCGAACUCAGAAGUGAAACCUCUUAGCGCUGAUGGUAGUGUGGGGUCUCCCAUGUGAGAGUAAGUCAUCGCCA
rnacentral:rRNA from 1 species